rnacentral:piRNA from 1 species
AAGCUGCAUAAUCAAUAAAUAGAACAAGG